GAUGAACGCUGGCGGCGUGCUUAACACAUGCAAGUCGAACGGUGAAAGCGGAGCUUGCUCCGCUGGAUCAGUGGCGAACGGGUGAGUAACACGUAGGCAACCUGCCCCUCACUUCGGGAUAACUCCGGGAAACCGGGGCUAAUACCGGAUAUGACCUCCUUGGGCAUCCUUGGAGGUGGAAAGUUUUUCGGUGAGGGAUGGGCCCGCGGCCUAUCAGCUUGUUGGUGAGGUAGUGGCUCACCAAGGCGACGACGGGUAGCCGGCCUGAGAGGGCGACCGGCCACACUGGGACUGAGACACGGCCCAGACUCCUACGGGAGGCAGCAGUGGGGAAUAGUGCGCAAUGGGCGAAAGCCUGACGCAGCAACGCCGCGUGCGGGGUGACGGCCUUCGGGUUGUAAACCGCUUUCAGCAGGGAAGAAGCCGCAAGGUGACGGUACCUGCAGAAGAAGCACCGGCUAACUACGUGCCAGCCGCCGCCGUAA
rnacentral:rRNA from 1 species